rnacentral:rRNA from 1 species
CAGUUCUACCUAGGAGAUGUUGGCUAUGCACGUCGGCUUGGUGUUCUUCCACGCUUCAGGAAUAUCAGGUACCAUCUGAAUGAGUUCGCUGGUAGGAACUAUCCUAGGACUCCAUAGUAGUUGUUUAAUCUCAGACACUCCAGCCUUAGAGUUACUGUUGAGAGGGAAUUUGAAGCUCUGAAGAACAUGUUUAAGAUCCUAAAUCAGAAGCCAUUCCACACUUUCCCCACCCAGGUUAAGCUUGUGCUUGCCUGUUGCAUUUUGCAUAACUAGAUCCUACAAUGCGGUUGUGAUGAACUGGUGCGUGAGGAGGAAGAUGUGACACCUGAUGAUGUUGUCAGCUCUGGCCAUGGUGUGGAGGCAAUUGACAACGAAGCCUGAAAGAACAAAAGGAUGGAGUGGGCACAGGCAAUGUGGGAUAACAGAGGUCGGACAAGGAUCUGGAAAAGAAGAAUAAGAGCAAGAGCAGCAGCAGAAGAGCAAGAGCAACAACAGAAAAGAAAAGGAAGUAGUAGAUCAGGACAAGAAGAAGAAGAAGCCGAAGAAGAAACAACAACAACAACAACAACAACAACAACAACAACAACAACAACAACAACAACAACAACAACAACAUAA